UAAUACGUAGGGGGCUAGCGUUAUCCGGAAUUACUGGGCGUAAAGGGUGCGUAGGUGGUCUGACAAGUCAGGGGUGAAAGGCUACGGCUCAACCGUAGUAAGCCCUUGAAACUGUCGGACUUGAGUGCAGGAGAGGAAAGUGGAAUUCCCAGUGUAGCGGUGAAAUGCGUAGAUAUUGGGAGGAACAUCAGUGGCGAAGGCGACUUUCUGGACUGUAACUGACACUGAGGCACGAAAGCGUGGGGAGCAAACAGG
rnacentral:rRNA from 1 species